rnacentral:rRNA from 1 species
CGACCGGCGCACGGGUGAGUAACACGUAUCCAACCUGCCGAUGACUCGGGGAUAGCCUUUCGAAAGAAAGAUUAAUACCCGAUGGCAUAGUUCUUCCGCAUGGUGGAACUAUUGAAGAAUUUCGGUCAUCGAUGGGGAUGCGUUCCAUUAGGUUGUUGGCGGGGUAACGGCCCACCAAGCCUUCGAUGGAUAGGGGUUCUGAGAGGAAGGUCCCCCACAUUGGAACUGAGACACGGUCCAAACUCCUACGGGAGGCAGCAUG